AGAGCCUCGGUGUGACGUACCUGUCGCAGUUCCCCAAGGCCAAACUCAAACCUGGCGCCCCCAUCAGGGCCCCCACGCUGCGACCUGACCGCGUCCGCGCCUAUGGGCCUGGGCUGGAGCCGCAGGGGAACACGGUGCUGCAGCCGGCGCGAUUCACGGUGGAGACGCUGGAGGCCGGGACUGGGGAGGUGCUGGUUUAUAUCCAGGACCCCGAGGGACACACCGAGGAGGCGCAGGUGGUGGCCAAUAAGGACAAGAAGCGGACGUUCUCUGUCACCUACGUCCCCAAGGUGGCCGGGCUGCACAAGGUGACGGUUCUGUUUGGCGGUCAGGACAUUACGGGGCAGCCCGUUUGCGGUUCAGGUGGGGAUGGCGCUCGGCGACGCCGGCAAAGUGUCGGCACGAGGCCCCGGCAUCGAACCCAGCGGAAACGUGGCCAUAAACCGACCUACUUUGACAUCUACACCGC